rnacentral:rRNA from 2 species
GAAUGCUGACAUAAGUAACGAUAAAGCGGGUGAAAAGCCCGCUCGCCGGAAGACCAAGGGUUCCUGUCCAACGUUAAUCGGGGCAGGGUGAGUCGACCCCUAAGGCGAGGCCGAAAGGCGUAGUCGAUGGGAAACGGGUUAAUAUUCCCGUACUUGGUGUUACUGCGAAGGGGGGACGGAGAAGGCUAUGUUGGCCGGGCGACGGUUGUCCCGGUUUAAGCGUGUAGGUGUGUGUUCCAGGUAAAUCCGGUUCACUUUAACACUGAGGCGUGAUGACGAGGCACUACGGUGCUGAAGCAACAAAUGCCCUGCUUCCAGGAAAAGCCUCUAAGCAUCAGGUAACAUCAAAUCGUACCCCAAACCGACACAGGUGGUCAGGUAGAGAAUACCAAGGCGCUUGAGAGAACUCGGGUGAAGGAACUAGGCAAAAUGGUGCCGUAACUUCGGGAGAAGGCACGCUGACACGUAGGUGAAGUGAUUUACUCAUGGAGCUGAAGUCAGUCGAAGAUACCAGCUGGCUGCAACUGUUUAUUAAAAACACAGCACUGUGCAAACACGAAAGUGGACGUAUACGGUGUGACGCCUGCCCGGUGCCGGAAGGUUAAUUGAUGGGGUCAGCGCAAGCGAAGCUCCUGAUCGAAGCCCCGGUAAACGGCGGCCGUAACUAUAACGGUCCUAAGGUAGCGAAAUUCCUUGUCGGGUAAGUUCCGACCUGCACGAAUGGCGUAAUGAUGGCCAGGCUGUCUCCACCCGAGACUCAGUGAAAUUGAACUCGCUGUGAAGAUGCAGUGUACCCGCGGCAAGACGGAAAGACCCCGUGAACCUUUACUAUAGCUUGACACUGAACAUUGAGCCUUGAUGUGUAGGAUAGGUGGGAGGCUUUGAAGUGUGGACGCCAGUCUGCAUGGAGCCGACCUUGAAAUACCACCCUUUAAUGUUUGAUGUUCUAACGUGGACCCGUGAUCCGGGUUGCGGACAGUGUCUGGUGGGUAGUUUGACUGGGGCGGUCUCCUCCUAAAGAGUAACGGAGGAGCACGAAGGUUGGCUAAUCCUGGUCGGACAUCAGGAGGUUAGUGCAAUGGCAUAAGCCAGCUUGACUGCGAGCGUGACGGCGCGAGCAGGUGCGAAAGCAGGUCAUAGUGAUCCGGUGGUUCUGAAUGGAAGGGCCAUCGCUCAACGGAUAAAAGGUACUCCGGGGAUAACAGGCUGAUACCGCCCAAGAGUUCAUAUCGACGGCGGUGUUUGGCACCUCGAUGUCGGCUCAUCACAUCCUGGGGCUGAAGUAGGUCCCAAGGGUAUGGCUGUUCGCCAUUUAAAGUGGUACGCGAGCUGGGUUUAGAACGUCGUGAGACAGUUCGGUCCCUAUCUGCCGUGGGCGCUGGAGAACUGAGGGGGGCUGCUCCUAGUACGAGAGGACCGGAGUGGACGCAUCACUGGUGUUCGGGUUGUCAUGCCAAUGGCACUGCCCGGUAGCUAAAUGCGGAAGAGAUAAGUGCUGAAAGCAUCUAAGCACGAAACUUGCCCCGAGAUGAGUUCUCCCUGAGACUUUAGGUCUCCUGAAGGAACGUUGAAGACGACGACGUUGAUAGGCCGGGUGUGUAAGCGCAGCGAUGCGUUGAGCUAACCGGUACUAAUGAACCGUGAGGCUUAACCUUACA